rnacentral:rRNA from 1 species
GACGAACGCUGGCGGCGUGCUUAACACAUGCAAGUCGAACGGUAAGGCCCUUCGGGGUACACGAGUGGCGAACGGGUGAGUAACACGUGGGUGAUCUGCCCUGCACUUCGGGAUAAGCCUGGGAAACUGGGUCUAAUACCGGAUAGGACCCUGGGAUGCAUGUCCUGGGGUGGAAAGCUUUUGCGGUGUGGGAUGGGCCCGCGGCCUAUCAGCUUGUUGGUGGGGUGAUGGCCUACCAAGGCGACGACGGGUAGCCGGCCUGAGAGGGUGACCGGCCACACUGGGACUGAGAUACUGCCCAGACUCCUACGGGAGGCAGCAGUGGGGAGUAGUGCACAAUGGGCGCAAGCCUGAUGCAGCGACGCCGCGUGAGGGAUGACGGCCUUCGGGUUGUAAACCUCUUUCAGCACCGACGAAGCGCAAGUGACGGUAGGUGCAGAAGAAGGACCGGCCAACUACGUGCCAGCCGCCGCGGUAA